CUACGGGCUGCACCAGUGGGGAAUCUUGGACAAUGGGCGCAAGCCUGAUCCAGCCAUGCCGCGUGAGUGAAGAAGGUCUUCGGAUUGUAAAGCUCUUUUGCCAGGGACGAUAAUGACGGUACCUGGAGAAUAAGCCCCGGCAAACUUCGUGCCAGCAGCCGCGGUAAUACGAAGGGGGCUAGCGUUGUUCGGAAUUACUGGGCGUAAAGCGCACGUAGGCGGGUCGUUAAGUCAGGGGUGAAAUCCCGGAGCUCAACUCCGGAACUGCCUUUGAUACUGGCGAUCUUGAGAUCGGAAGAGGUGAGUGGAAUUCCCAGUGUAGAGGUGAAAUUCGUAGAUAUUGGGAAGAACACCAGUGGCGAAGGCGGCUCACUGGUCCGAUACUGACGCUGAGGUGCGAAAGCGUGGGGAGCAAACAGGAUUAGAUACCCGAGUAGUC
rnacentral:rRNA from 1 species